rnacentral:rRNA from 1 species
CAGUCGCCGCGGUAAUACGGAGGGUGCAAGCGUUAAUCGGAAUUACUGGGCGUAAAGCGUGCGUAGGCGGUUCGAUAAGUCUGUUGUGAAAGCCCCGGGCUCAACCUGGGAAUGGCAAUGGAUACUGGCGAGCUAGAGUGUGUCAGAGGAUGGUGGAAUUCCCGGUGUAGCGGUGAAAUGCGUAGAGAUCGGGAGGAACAUCAGUGGCGAAGGCGACCAUCUGGGACUAUACUGACGCUGAUGCACGAAAGCGUGGGGAGCAAACAGGAUUAGAUACCCCAGUAGUCCCUGUCUCUUAUAU